rnacentral:rRNA from 1 species
GAUGAACGCUGGCGGCGUGCUUAACACAUGCAAGUCGAGCGGUCCCUUCGGGGAUAGCGGCGGACGGGUGAGUAACACGUAGGCAACCUGCCUGUAAGACCGGAAUAACUAUCGGAAACGAUAGCUAAGACCGGAUAGCUGGUUUUCUCGCAUGAGAGAAUCAUGAAACACGGGGCAACCUGUGGCUUACAGAUGGGCCUGCGGCGCAUUAGCUAGUUGGUAGGGUAACGGCCUACCAAGGCGACGAUGCGUAGCCGACCUGAGAGGGUGACCGGCCACACUGGGACUGAGACACGGCCCAGACUCCUACGGGAGGCAGCAGUAGGGAAUCUUCCGCAAUGGACGCAAGCCUGACGGAGCAACGCCGCGUGAGUGAUGAAGGUCUUCGGAUCGUAAAGCUCUGUUGCCCUAGACGAACAGCAAGGAGAGUAACUGCUCUUUGUGUGACGGUAUAGGAGAAGAAAGCCCCGGCUAACUACGUGCCAGCCGCCGCGGUAA